AGGGUGUAAACGCUGCAGACUUGGUGUUGGGAACCCUUCGGGGGUGCUCAGUGCCGGAGAGAAGUUGUUAAGUCUGCUACUUGGGGAGUACGUCCGCAAGGAUGAAACUUAAAGGAAUUGGCGGGGGAGGCACCGCAACGGGAGGAGCGUGCGGUUUAAUUAGAUUCAACGCCGAAAAACUCACCAGCAGCGACUGUUACAUGAAAGUCAGGUUGAUGACCUUACUAGAUUUUCAGAGAGGUGGUGCAUGGCGUCAGUGACU
rnacentral:rRNA from 1 species